CUAGCUGUAAACGAUGGAUACUAGGCGUUGAGAGUAUCGACCCUCUCAGUGUCGUAGCUAACGCGUUAAGUAUCCCGCCUGGGGGGUACGCGCGCAAGCGUGAAACUCAAAGGAAUUGACGGGGGCCCGCACAAGCGGUGGAGUAUGUGGUUUAAUUCGAUGCAACGCGAAGAACCUUACCAGGGCUUGACAUGUCCGGAACCCUGCCCAAAGGCGGGGGUGCCUACGGGAACCGGAACACAGGUGGUGC
rnacentral:rRNA from 1 species